AUUGAACGCUGGCGGCAUGCCUUACACAUGCAAGUCGAACGGUAACAGGUCUUCGGAUGCUGACGAGUGGCGAACGGGUGAGUAAUACAUCGGAACGUGCCCAGACGUGGGGGAUAACGAGGCGAAAGCUUUGCUAAUACCGCAUACGAUCUAAGGAUGACAGCAGGGGACCGCAAGGCCUUGUGCGUUUGGAGCGGCCGAUGGCAGAUUAGGUAGUUGGUGGGAUAAAAGCUUACCAAGCCGACGAUCUGUAGCUGGUCUGAGAGGACGACCAGCCACACUGGGACUGAGACACGGCCCAGACUCCUACGGGAGGCAGCAGUGGGGAAUUUUGGACAAUGGGCGAAAGCCUGAUCCAGCAAUGCCGCGUGCAGGAUGAAGGCCUUCGGGUUGUAAACUGCUUUUGUACGGAACGAAAAGGCUCUGGCUAAUACCUGGGGCACAUGACGGUACCGUAAGAAUAAGCACCGGCUAACUACGUG
rnacentral:rRNA from 1 species